CCAUCUCCGGACAUGAGGCUGGGGAAGCAUAAGCAGCGGGUGCUUUUAAAUUAAAAGUAAAGCAAUCAGUGCCAGAGCACUCGCUUUAGCAAGCAGGGAGCUCGCUAAGGGCAUUCUGCUUGGAGGUAGUGUGAGAGGUCUUAGGAUACUGUUUAGUGCCCAAGUUGUAUGUUUCUUACGUGCGUUUUCCUUCGCAAUGUAAAUAAAACCCACCAAGUCUCCCCACUGAUGAAAAGACCAAUUCUCAAUCCUAUUCCUACGUGCAAUUUAUCCUGUUUCCUCGGGCAAGUAUUUCCACAGGCUCUCCAGCAGCAUCAGCCAGAGGUUGUUGCAGAAGCUGUGACCGGCUGGGGAGGGCGGCGCUGCUCGGUCACUAGUGGGCUGUGCGGAGGAGCAACGUGCCUGCCUCCAGCUCGUGGGCAGUUUGAAGGGCUUUAGUUUUUCCAGACCUGUUUGACCUCUCUCUGUGCCUCCAGGGGCAUUUUUGAACUUUGUGGUUUCACUGUUUGCUGCCCCUUUGCCUGCUCCUAACAGAAGCAGAGCAGGCCUGACCCAGAAAGCUGGAUGCAAGAGUGAUCAAUAGGGACUGUAGCUGGUCAGCAGCAUUGCCUGGAGGUGCCUUUCCACGUUAGUCCUGAAAUAAAUAAACGUGUUCAGAAAAAACAUAGGCAGUCUGCUUAGGACAGCUUGGGCGUCCAUAGAGCGGUGGCUUUCAGUCUGUGGUCCAGCAGCUACUCAUACAGCCUCAAGAGAGAGCAAGGCCACCGUCCGAAGGCUGAAUUUACUGCACAGCAGUCGGCCGAGCAACACGGGUCUGCAGAUGGGGUCCCUGGCUAGACGGACGCAGAGUGAGGCUGGGCGCUCUGCAUAUGCGUAUGAUCCUGAUGUAAAAUGUAUAAAUAUAUGCAUCAAUGCAAGAUUGUCUCUAGGGAAAAAAAGGUAGUAAAAAGCUAAUGGUGCGGUCUAAUGCAGGAGGUACCCCAGCUUCAAACCAUAUCUGGCACGUGGCUACUUUAGAAGCUAAAUCAUUGAUUCAGCUUCUUAUAACAUUGGUCAGGAGAGCUUGGCCGUCUUAAGCAGGGCGUGAUCCGGCUCUCUUGGGGCAUCCUGCAUGCACAGGCCAGCCUCUGCAUCCCGGUCGGAGGACUCACCUCUCCGAGUGCCAUGGAAAUGACUCCUCCAGACAGCGGACAUCUCUGGUGCCUGGGCUGUGCUACAUCUCGACCCAAGCCAGGUGCAUUGGGGAGCCCCGAGAAGGGAAGCCCAGGGACUUGGGGGAGUGCUGAUGCUCUCAGCUCCCAUGGAAAUUAAGGGGAGAGGCAAGCCCAGCAGCGCUCGAGACCCUGCUAGAGCUGUGCUCAAAGAACAUGAGCUUAAUUCUUAAAACUGUUUAAACUACUGGUAGCUUAGAGAGAGAUGUGUGACUUGACAUGUACAUGGGUCAAUCAGGAAUAGCCCCUUCAGGGCUGGUUUUAUAUCAGUGCAAGCAGGGAGAAGAUGAGAGCCAUGAUGCACAUUGCUAUUUUCUGCAGUUUCUUUUCUAGCCGAACACAGGUGCUUUGUGCACCCUGUACUAUUGGACCUGGUGGCUUGCUCUGAGAUCUUAAAUCCCUGUGAUGGAAGGUGCCUUAGGUGUUAAAAGUGACUGCUAGGGAGAGUCAUGGGUUACAGUAAGCAGAGCAUUUAUUUUAAGAAUUGCAUUUAAACACCAUUCUCUCAUGCAGGGAGAAGUGCCCAUGAAGCACCUGGAGCAGGAACUGGGUUGGCUCGCGUUUGUUGCAGCUUGUGAGGCCAUGCGGUUGAGUAGUGCCGGAUGAACGACUUCAGCCUCUCUGAGCCACGGACGUAUUCCUCUUACUAGCGAUGGUGGCUCUCCAGCAGGUUUUAUUGUGCCUGCAAUAGCAGAUUUCAGGCAUUGCUGGAGGAGAAAACUAAAAUGCAGCCCUGGAUGUGAUUAAUCUGAGUGUGUGUUAGUGCCUCUGGGAGUAGGUGCAUCUAUUCAUCUCUGAGUGUGGUAUAUAUACACCUGCUUCUGAAAAAAAAAAAAAAACAAUGUUUUUAGGGAAACAAACAAAUCCUAAAGAAUAUCCUUUCAGAGCAGCAACCUCCUGCUUGUUUGAAUUCCUGCGGGACAAUGAGCGCUUUGUAACUUCUCAGUGCUCUCAGGAACCAAAACAGCUCCGGUAUGAUCUCAGCUGCUGUAAAUCAGGCAGCUCCAUCGGGUGCUAUUGGUAGGGUAAAUUUAGUGCUGAUUGCUUUGAUCUAAAAUGCUUUUAUUUUUCACCCUCUAUAGAGAUAGACACAAGGUCAGACUAAUGGCAGAUACAUGAAAAACCUAUGAUGUGGCCCAUAUUGAUUUAGCGGUGAUUAAUGAUUCGAGGAGAAGGCUGGUGAUUCAUGCGCGCACGUACAGUGCCUGGGAAUAAGAACCUCGGACCAAGGCAGCCUGCUAAUUCCAGCGUCCAGCCUGCUUCCUGCUGCUUCGGGGCUGGGAAACGCAGUUCUCACGGAUGUCCUUGCACUGGGCAAAUACAGGCUUGUAUGCAAUCUGUGUAGUUCACAAAUUAAAAAGGGCAAAGCUUAAGCACCCAUGAAGUGGGUGAGACUAGCGCUGCCAGCUGGGGGAUGCCGUAGCCGGGCUGAGCCUCACCUCUGCAACCCUCUCCAAGGCUUCCUCCAUGAACUAAUUGCACCUUGUGAGAACACUUGAAAACAUACCUGUCCUCAGCAACCCCAGAGCUGCCUGGAGAACAACAUCUCAGGACUUCAGAGCGCGCUACCUGCAGGGAAGGGCACAAGGAAACCUUCCCAGUGACGAACCAAGGUGAACGUUUCCACCAUGCAUGUAACUAUGGUGCAGUAAUCACACGUUCUUUCACUUAGCUUUUGCCUCCCUGCCUUUAGCACAGCACAUGUGCAGGCGGUUGCCAUGGACGGUGAGACAUACUGCGAAUUCACACCUGAGCUUAGCUGUGGUAUUGUUCGCUGUGCCCAAAGCCUGAGAGAGCCCUGUCAUAAGAGAAAGCAAAACUUCUCAAGACCCCAGCUCUCAGGUUGUGGUCGCUGGAUUUUGCCCAUCAGAUUACCAUUCCUGCCCCGGGGCCACUUCUGCAACGGUGCGUGGGGGGGGUCGAGCUCUCAGUGCCACGGACAGGAGCUGGGAGAAAUAGGCCGGAGCUUGGCGUUUUGCAGUCGCUGACAUUUGCUGGCACGGGGCCCAAAAGACUCACGCUGUCUGCGGGUAUAAAUCGGUGGCUGUUCUAGCAAGGUUUCAGUCUGAGUCUAGGAGAGGCUGAGGGCCGUCUGCUUCCUCUGCAGGGCGCUCCAGAAACGCUGGAGGUGUUGGCCCCAGCGCGGAGGCGGUGUGAAUUAACUGCUGCACGUCGGAGGGCAAAGGAGAGAAGGGCUGGCAGGGCCCAGGCAGAGUCGGUUUUGCACCAAAAUACGGGCGAUGGGGGCGUUCAUCGCCUGAAUGGGCAACCACCAGUAUCUGAGUACUGGCAACCUGAACAGGAGUGAAAUGUGGUGGUGGUGUUCACAGGACACUCACCUUCCGGAGGGCUCUUUUUCAUCUUUUCUCUGGGGGGUAUUUAAGAGAUUGCACUGUGCCCCCAAACCGCUGCUGUUAACAGACUGCAAGUGAGGCUGUCUCUAAGCUUUGCAGCUCUCCGCUUCGAUGACCGCACGUCUCGGCUGGGCUCCGGAGGAAGAGCAGGGCGCAGGG